CGUCUAUUAUCAAGAGCUAGGCAGCGUUGGAUCCAAAGAAAAUGAAUAGAGUCAAACCAAAAAAUCUAAUUUAAUUAUGGGGAAAAAACUAUAAAGUUAAAACUCAAAAAAAAAUUAUAGGUUACAAUUGAUAGUUAGGUUCGGUCAAAGCAUAAUAACUUUUUAUGCAUGUAAGCAUCAAUUUUAACGUAUGUUUUUAAGUUUUAAACUUCAAUAUAACGUUUAUAUAUAUGUAGUUAAUCGUGAACUUCAAUCUAAACUGACUAUGUUGGCAAUAAUAGAUUUUUGGAUGAGGGCCGGUUUAAUUUGGAAUCAAUAAGACAGACUUUUGGAUAAAAUAAGCAACAUAUCUGAUUUGGAAAUCCUUUUUUUCUUUUCCUAAUUAAUAUUAUCUUCUUUUUGGAGACCGUUUUGAAAUAUUGGCAACGAACAAACAAACAGUAAGAAAAAAAAAAAGGGUCUCUAGAAUAUCCAAGAAUCUCUUAUGAUAAGCUUCUGCCACUUGGUAUACGUAGGGGAUAUAAUUAGUUUGUUGUUAUUAUUAUUUUUAUAUCUUUCUUGUCACUAUGUGGUUGGUUGAUGGAUUCAGGAUCAAGUUGGCCUAUUAUUCCUGGAUAUGCUUUGGAUUUUAGAGUACUGUUUCAUCUGAAAUUCUUAGCUCUUCACCUAACGAUGAUUUAAUCAUUAACCAAAAAAACAAAGUCGUCAUGAAUUCUUCAAGACUCAGCUUCAAGCCACAUGAACGAGAAAAGAAGACACACUUGGACCAUCACUCCAUCAGUGAUCUCGAUCAGUAAACCAUACAUCUAAAGAGAAGCAAGAGACUUAGUUACUUUAUUGGCAUCAAAGAGGAAGGCUAGGGAGGAAAGUAGUAUUUCAUCAAAAAGCGCAAGGCAUUCUACUUCAAGGGUGAGUUUCGAAUGAGGAAUCGACGAACUUUAGAUGAGCAUUAUCAGUUGGAAUUGUUAAGAAUUAGGGCGGCCUCAAGACUUAACAAUUCCCCACCUAAAAAAUGUGUCAAAAGUAUUUUCCAAAGGUAUUUUUUCUGAUGAAAACUAUGAAUUGAAGAACUGUUUUGGUAGACCUUCAGGUUUGGUUAGGUUAUGAUAGUGUUUGUAUGGUGGAUCAUGUUGGUUAUGGGGGCAAUCUUGCUAUAUUUUGGAAGCACUCUGUAAAGUUAGAUUUUAAAUUUGUAAAUAAAAACUUGUUGGAUUGCA